CGAGGGCGGUUAACAGUCAGUAGGCUGUGUCCCCGAGGCCAGCCCAAGUGUGGGCCUUGAGGACGCGAGCUUAGCAGCCCCCACAGGUCACACAGCCAGCGAGGGGGCCGGCCCGGCUCCCAGAGCGGUCCCACAACAAAGUCCGCGCUCUUUGCCGGUACUGCAGCGAAAACUUCAGAAGAAAGUAGCCACACAGAGUAGAGCUAUUAUUAUUCUCGGAUGCCUCUUGUGGACCAAAAGUGUUUCAGUUAUGAGCCUCAAAAUCAUACGCUCGCACUCCUGUUUCCUCUCCUGUGGUAGCAGCCCCUAAUUAAGAUGCAUUUGAAGUACUGAGAGCAACACCCAAGAAAAAAGAAAGGAGGAUUUUUCCCUCAACAACAAUGCAGUCUCUCCUGACCCCUUCCUGGGUGGGAGAUUCAGUGUUUCCAGUCACUUCCCUGCCCCUCACGGGUUUCUCAUAAGCCGUCUGCACACCGAAUGCUUGUGCUCUGUCCCUGCUGUUGAAGAAGCAGGAUUCGUGGAAGAUUUGUAAAUGCACCACCGUUCAGAGAAACCGGAGCAGCCACAAAUUUAACGGAUGGUAAAACCCAUCUGAGGAAGGGGAAGGCUCUCCAGCUUCCAUGAGCACCACAGCAGGUCUCUUUUGUUCAGCUCGUGGCCCCAGAGUCUGCUCGGAGAAGCGAACUUGGGGGACACAGAGUUUAAAUCGGACUGCAGGUAGAAUAACAGGUGUAUUUCCCUUUUCCCCUGGGGGAGGGGGGAGUGCCGGGAGGUUUAACAACCACCUGACCAAUAAAAACAACAAACAAACAAACACCCCCCACCCCCAAACCCUGAUUGGCAGCACCUGCCCGUGUCUGUGGUGGCGUUUGCAUAGACAUGGGCGCUGUUAUAAAGUAUUUCCACCAUAUGAGAGCAAGAGAUGUAAAUCAUCUCGGGAGCAUAGGACGCAACGUGUAGUAAAAUAAUUAGGAAGUGAUGUGCUUUGAGUACUUAUUACCUUUUUAAAAAUUAAUGUAUUUAAAUGUAAGCUUAUGUAAUUCAGUUUUCAAUAAUGGCUGUGUUUAACCACAGGUUUGCGAAAUUCCUGAAAUUUUAGCAGUUGACUUAUGUGAACCUGUAUGUGCAGCUUCUGGCUUGCGGGCCCUGGGACUUUGAGAGGAGGGGAGAGAGGAUGAGCGAGCUCCCCGGAAGGGCACACUCUGGAGCCUAAGGAGGACGUCACCAGUGAGAACCUCUCUAUACGUGGUUGGCCCAGGGACUCUGAAGACAGUGAUUUGAAGGACCUCAUUUUAAUUUGUUUCUUAUUCUGUGCCAUGCAUUCUGGCCCUUUCCCUCAAAUCAUUUUUUUUUAAGAUUUUAUUUAUUUAUUUAUUUGACAGAGAGAGAGCGAGCACAAGC